rnacentral:rRNA from 1 species
AUUGAACGCUGGCGGCAGGCCUAACACAUGCAAGUCGAGCGGAUGAAGGGAGCUUGCUCCUGGAUUCAGCGGCGGACGGGUGAGUAAUGCCUAGGAAUCUGCCUGGUAGUGGGGGAUAACGUCCGGAAACGGGCGCUAAUACCGCAUACGUCAUGAGGGAGAAAGUGGGGGAUCUUCGGACAUCACGCUAUCAGAUGAGCCUAGGUCGGAUUAGCUAGUUGGUGGGGUAAAGGCCUACCAAGGCGACGAUCCGUAACUGGUCUGAGAGGAUGAUCAGUCACACUGGAACUGAGACACGGUCCAGACUCCUACGGGAGGCAGCAGUGGGGAAUAUUGGACAAUGGGCGAAAGCCUGAUCCAGCCAUGCCGCGUGUGUGAAGAAGGUCUUCGGAUUGUAAAGCACUUUAAGUUGGGAGGAAGGGCAGUAAGUUAAUACCUUGCUGUUUUGACGGUACCAACAGAAUAAGCACCGGCUAACUUCGUG